rnacentral:rRNA from 1 species
AAUAGAUACCCUGGUAGUCCACGCCGUAAACGAUGAGUGCUAAGUGUUAGAGGGUUUCCGCCCUUUAGUGCUGAAGUUAACGCAUUAAGCACUCCGCCUGGGGAGUACGGCCGCAAGGCUGAAACUCAAAGGAAUUGACGGGGGCCCGCACAAGCGGUGGAGCAUGUGGUUUAAUUCGAAGCAACGCGAAGAACCUUACCAGGUCUUGACAUCCUCUGACAACCCUAGAGAUAGGGCUUCUCCUUCGGGAGCAGAGUGACAGGUGGUGCAUGGUUGUCGUCAGCUCGUGUCGUGAGAUGUUGGGUUAAGUCCCGCAACGAGCGCAACCCUUGAUCUUAGUUGCCAUCAUUAAGUUGGGCACUCUAAGGUGACUGCCGGUGACAAACCGGAGGAAGGUGGGGAUGACGUCAAAUCAUCAUGCCCCUUAUGACCUGGGCUACACACGUGCUACAAUGGACGGUACAAAGAGCUGCAAGACCGCGAGGUGGAGCUAAUCUCAUAAAACCGUUCUCAGUUCGGA